rnacentral:rRNA from 1 species
CCCGUUAAUGGGUGAUGGCGUGCCUUUUGUAGAAUGAACCGGCGAGUUACGAUUUGAUGCAAGGUUAAGCAGUAAAUGUGGAGCCGUAGCGAAAGCGAGUCUGAAUAGGGCGUUUAGUAUUUGGUCGUAGACCCGAAACCAGGUGAUCUACCCUUGGUCAGGUUGAAGUUCAGGUAACACUGAAUGGAGGACCGAACCGACUUACGUUGAAAAGUGAGCGGAUGAACUGAGGGUAGCGGAGAAAUUCCAAUCGAACCUGGAGAUAGCUGGUUCUCUCCGAAAUAGCUUUAGGGCUAGCCUCAAGUGAUGAUUAUUGGAGGUAGAGCACUGUUUGGACGAGGGGCCCCUCUCGGGUUACCGAAUUCAGACAAACUCCGAAUGCCAAUUAAUUUAACUUGGGAGUCAGAACAUGGGUGAUAAGGUCCGUGUUCGAAAGGGAAACAGCCCAGACCACCAGCUAAGGUCCCAAAAUAUAUGUUAAGUGGAAAAGGAUGUGGCGUUGCCCAGACAACUAGGAUGUUGGCUUAGAAGCAGCCAUCAUUUAAAGAGUGCGUAAUAGCUCACUAGUCGAGUGACACUGCGCCGAAAAUGUACCGGGGCUAAACAUAUUACCGAAGCUGUGGAUUGUCCUUUGGACAAUGGUAGGAGAGCGUUCUAAGGGCGUUGAAGCAUGAUCGUAAGGACAUGUGGAGCGCUUAGAAGUGAGAAUGCCGGUGUGAGUAGCGAAAGACGGGUGAGAAUCCCGUCCACCGAUUGACUAAGGUUUCCAGAGGAAGGCUCGUCCGCUCUGGGUUAGUCGGGUCCUAAGCUGAGGCCGACAGGCGUAGGCGAUGGAUAACAGGUUGAUAUUCCUGUACCACCUAUAAUCGUUUUAAUCGAUGGGGGGACGCAGUAGGAUAGGCGAAGCGUGCGAUUGGAUUGCACGUCUAAGCAGUAAGGCUGAGUAUUAGGCAAAUCCGGUACUCGUUAAGGCUGAGCUGUGAUGGGGAGAAGACAUUGUGUCUUCGAGUCGUUGAUUUCACACUGCCGAGAAAAGCCUCUAGAUAGAAAAUAGGUGCCCGUACCGCAAACCGACACAGGUAGUCAAGAUGAGAAUUCUAAGGUGAGCGAGCGAACUCUCGUUAAGGAACUCGGCAAAAUGACCCCGUAACUUCGGGAGAAGGGGUGCUCUUUAGGGUUAACGCCCAGAAGAGCCGCAGUGAAUAGGCCCAAGCGACUGUUUAUCAAAAACACAGGUCUCUGCUAAACCGUAAGGUGAUGUAUAGGGGCUGACGCCUGCCCGGUGCUGGAAGGUUAAGAGGAGUGGUUAGCUUCUGCGAAGCUACGAAUCGAAGCCCCAGUAAACGGCGGCCGUAACUAUAACGGUCCUAAGGUAGCGAAAUUCCUUGUCGGGUAAGUUCCGACCCGCACGAAAGGCGUAACGAUUUGGGCACUGUCUCAACGAGAGACUCGGUGAAAUCAUAGUACCUGUGAAGAUGCAGGUUACCCGCGACAGGACGGAAAGACCCCGUGGAGCUUUACUGUAGCCUGAUAUUGAAAUUCGGCACAGCUUGUACAGGAUAGGUAGGAGCCUUUGAAACGUGAGCGCUAGCUUACGUGGGAGGCGCUGGUGGGAUACUACCCUAGCUGUGUUGGCUUUCUAACCCGCACCACUUAUCGUGGUGGGAGAACAGUGUCAGGCGGGCAGUUUGACUGGGGCGGUCGCCUCCUAAAAGGUAACGGAGGCGCUCAAAGGUUCCCUCAGAAUGGUUGGAAAUCAUUCAUAGAGUGUAAAGGCAUAAGGGAGCUUGACUGCGAGACCUACAAGUCGAGCAGGGUCGAAAGACGGACUUAGUGAUCCGGUGGUUCCGCAUGGAAGGGCCAUCGCUCAACGGAUAAAAGCUACCCCGGGGAUAACAGGCUUAUCUCCCCCAAGAGUUCACAUCGACGGGGAGGUUUGGCACCUCGAUGUCGGCUCAUCGCAUCCUGGGGCUGUAGUCGGUCCCAAGGGUUGGGCUGUUCGCCCAUUAAAGCGGUACGCGAGCUGGGUUCAGAACGUCGUGAGACAGUUCGGUCCCUAUCCGUCGUGGGCGUAGGAAAUUUGAGAGGAGCUGUCCUUAGUACGAGAGGACCGGGAUGGACAUACCUCUGGUGUACCAGUUGUCGUGCCAACGGCAUAGCUGGGUAGCUAUGUGUGGACGGGAUAAGUGCUGAAAGCAUCUAAGCAUGAAGCCCCCCUCAAGAUGAGAUUUCCCAACUUCGGUUAU